rnacentral:tRNA from 1 species
ACUAUUUUGGCAGAUUAGUGCAAUAAAUUUAGAAUUUAUAAAUAUAAUUGUUAAAUUAUAAAUAGUA